rnacentral:rRNA from 1 species
UACGGGGGGGGUAAGCGUUGUUCGGAAUUACUGGGCGUAAAGGGCUCGUAGGCGGCCAACUAAGUCAUACGUGAAAUCCCUCAGCUUAACUGGGGAACUGCGUGUGAUACUGGAUGGCUUGGAUUUGGGAGAGGGAUGCGGAAUUCCAGGUGUAGCGGUGAAAUGCGUAGAUAUCGGGAGGAACACCAGUGGCGAAGGCGGUUACCUGGAGCUUUGCUGACGCUGAUGCGCGAAAGCGUGGGGAGCGAUCCGG